ensembl:lncRNA C3P1 complement component 3 precursor pseudogene
AAAGUGAGGUUUGUAGGGGGCAGGGCCAGGAAGAGGGGAAGGUCUGGGAGGACCUGGAGGGCGCAGCCCAGGGACAAGGAGGGGCAGGAGGGAGCCUGGACUUUGGAGGAUGGGGAAGGCAGGCCAGGGCCCGGAGUGGGUGAAGACUUCUCAGGACUAGGCCAGUUACAGCUAUGUUCUGGGCAAGGAGACGUUCCUCAUCCUUUGGCCAGCAGAUGGAGAUGCCAGCAAGAAAGAAUUGCGGGACCAACUGGAGGAAUUUUUGGAAUAUAUGCGCACCCACGGCUGCCAGUCCUGAGCCUCUUCUGCUUUCAGGGAGGUGUCAUCAGGCAGCUCUGGGCCACUGGGUUUAACCCCAAAUAAAGAGCACAGGAUAUGACACCCAAACCCUGGA